rnacentral:rRNA from 1 species
GUGCCAAGCACCCGCGGUAAUUCCAGCUCCAAUAGCGUAUAUUAAUGCUGCUGCAGUUGAAACGCUCGUAUUUGGACUUCUGGAUGAGUUUCUUGGUCGGUCAUUGACUGUACCUUGAAGCUUGUCCUUUUGUCCAAGGAAGGCUUCACCAAUGGAGUCUGACUUGGGCCAGUUACUUUGAGAAAAUUAGGGUGUUCAAAGCAGGCCAGUGCCUUGAAUACGUUAGCAUGGAAUAACGGAAUAGGACUUUGGUUCUAUUUUGUUGGUUGCUAGGACCGAAGUAAUGAUUAAUAGGGACAGUUGGGGGCAUUCAUAUUUAAUUGUCAGAGGUGAAAUUCUUGGAUUUAUUAAAGAUGAACUACUGCGAAAGCAUUUGCCAAGGAUGUUUUCAUUAAUCAAGAACGAAAGUUAGGGGAUCGAAGACGAUCAGAUACCGUCGUAGUCUUAACCAUAAACUAUGCCAGCUAGGGAUUGGAGGAUGUGUUUAUUAACUCUUUCAGCACCUAAUGAGAAAUCAAAGCGUUUGGGUUCUGGGGGGAGUAUGGUCGCAAGGCUGAAACUUAAAGGAAUUGACGGAAGGGCACCACCAGGAGUGGGACCUGCGGCUUAAUCUGACUCAACACGGAAAAAACUUACCAGGUCCAGACAUAAUGAGGAUUGACAGAUUGGAGAGCUCUUUCUUGAUUCUAGGGGUGGGGGGGCCAUGGGCCGCUCAUAGUUGAGACACUGAAUUUGUCUGCUUAAUUGCGAUGACGAGCGAGACCUUUAAUC